rnacentral:tRNA from 1 species
AAGGCUUUAAGUUAUAUAAACUAGUAACCUUCAAAGCUACCAAAAAAAUAAAAUUUUAAGCCUUA